CAGCUUGCUCCUCUCGCAGCUCGGUACAGCCGCCAGCGUCGCCAGAUCAUAUAGCACUUCAGAAGCCAACGCCACAACUGGACAGUGGCAGCCCAACGCCCCAACUCCAUAUCCCCUCGACCCCUCCAUCUCCGCCUCUCCACGCAAGCACUAGAACGACGGUGGGCCGGCGACGGUGGCGGGCUGGCGCAAGGCUCCGAGCUGCGAUGUGGAGCGGCGCGACGUACAAGAGCGUUGUUGCGCGCAGGACCAGGAGCAUGACGACACGGCUGUGCCGGGAGGCAGCCGCGCGCAGACCACGACGAGGAGCCUGACCGUGCUGAGGAGCUUACGGCCACACCAAACAGCCGACGCUUAGGAUUAGUAGCUUCUCAUGAUGGAGCACAAGGCCCUGUUGUGGUUAGCCCUGGAAAUUUUAACUCAGCUGGUAGCCCAACAUCUAAAUAUUGGCAUUAGAGGAUCGCAACUCCACUCUAUUUGCGGAAUUUCAAAGUGUUCUUGUUGAUGAAGAAGAAACUAUGGGCGAGUCUGAUUCCAUCAUAACCGAAGCCUAUAAGAUGAUGCCUAGAACACUGAGGUUAAGAAUGAAAGAUUAUUCCUAGAACAUUGAGGUGAAGAAUGGAAGAUGAUGCAUGGUUGUACCUGUGAUUACUUGAUGUUGUGUGAUGCCAUUUUGUGAGAAACUAAGACUGAGAAAUGAUGUAGCUUUAUUGCUCCAGUGUGCGUGGUGCUCUGGUCUUCAGUCUCUGGGCGUUGUGUGACCUUGUCUCGCAUGAGGUGCGACGUAAUAAGUUUCUUGCUGGGUCAGUGAACCGACUAGUUUCUGAACCUUGCGUCUCCCUUGGUGUUUUGUGGAUGUUGUUUGAAGGUGCUGAUACCUCUUUUCUUUAAUGUAGUUGCAACUAUUAUUGGUCUAUACUUUAAUCUUGAAUCUGAGAGCCUCAAUCGAAGGUCAGGCAAUAGCCUAUUAUCUAAAAUAAUGUUGUGCUAUUGCUAUGAUAUGCA